rnacentral:piRNA from 1 species
UGUAAAAAUACAUGCAACUCGAAUGGCAGA